rnacentral:pre_miRNA from 1 species
CAUAUACUCCCUCUGUUCGGAAUUACUUGUCAUCAAAAUGGAUGUAUCUAGAACUAAAAUACAUCUAGAUACAUUCAUUUCAAUGACAACUAUUUCCGAACGGAGGGAGUAUAUU